rnacentral:tRNA from 1 species
GCUGAGGUGGUGGAAUUGGUAGACACAUACGUUUCAGGUGCGUAUGUCGAAAGACGUGGGGGUUCGAGUCCCCUCCUCAGCA